GAAAUCCCAGAUCUACAUGUUUAAAUGUAAUACUUGUGAUAAAACAUAAUUUUCUCAAGAUUCAUAUGAAGAUCCUAGUGAUAAACUUCAAGUUUCUUAAUGUAUAUUUAGAUUAGUGAAGUAAUCAACACAUAAUAACCAAAUCUUUCAAGGAAACACACAUAAUCAUGCAUAUACACAUAGAUCUACACAAAUAAACUUGUAUUCUCCCCCAAAAACAAGUAAAAACCAAAAACAAGGGGGUAUAAACUCACCUUGAGGUUUGGUUCGAUUUUGAUGAAGAGAUAAGAGAAGAUGAUGUUGUUUUCGGCCUAGCUUACUUCCUUGAAAAGAUCUUGAAGAUGUGGAUAUCACCUUGAGGUUUGGUUCGAUUUUGAUGAAGAGAUAAGAGAAGAUGAUGUUGCUUUCGGCCUAGCUUACUUCCUUGAAAAGAUCUUGAAGAUGUGGAUGGUUCUAAGAAUAUAACCCACAAAUAUAUGGACGUAAGAGGAGGUUUUUGAAGACAUCAAGGAGUAAAAAUAUAG
rnacentral:lncRNA from 1 species